GCAAGUCGAACGAAGUAGCAAUACUUAGUGGCAGACGGGUGAGUAACAUGUGGGUAUCUACCCUUUGGCCUGGAAUAACACGAGGAAACUUGUGCUAAUACUGGAUAAGUCCUUACGGAGAAAGCUUUAUGCACCAUUGGAUGAGCCUGCGCUUGAUUAGUUUGUUGGUGGGGUAAUGGCCUACCAAGACUUUGAUCAAUAGCCGAUUUGAGAGGAUGAUCAGCCACAUUGGGACUGAGACACGGCCCAAACUCCUACGGGAGGCAGCAGUGGGGAAUCUUGCACAAUGGAGGAAACUCUGAUGCAGCGAUGCCGCGUGAGUGAAGAAGGCCCUUGGGUUGUAAAGCUCUUUCGUCGGGGAAGAAAAUGACUGUACCCGAAUAAGAAGGUCCGGCUAACUUCGUGCCAGCAGCCGCGGUAAUACGAAGGGACCUAGCGUAGUUCGGAAUUACUGGGCUUAAAGAGUUCGUAGGUGGUUGAAAAAGUUGGUGGUGAAAUCCCAGAGCUUAACUCUGGAACUGCCAUCAAAACUUUUCAGCUAGAGUUUGAUAGAGGAAAGCAGAAUUUCUAGUGUAGAGGUGAAAUUCGUAGAUAUUAGAAAGAAUACCAAUUGCGAAGGCAGCUUUCUGGAUCAUUACUGACACUGAGGAACGAAAGCAUGGGUAGCGAAGAGGAUUAAAUACCCUCGUAGUCCAUGCCGUAAACGAUGUGUGUUAAAACGUGGAAAUUUAUUUUCAGUGUCGCAGCGAAAGCGAUAA
rnacentral:rRNA from 1 species